UCUAGAAAUACUUUAACAGCAACAUUUAGACUGGUGUUUGAUUAAAUAUCUGGGUCUUGUGGUGUAGUUAGGUUGACACAUAAAAUUAAUCCGCAUGGCUAAUAACUGAUAUGCAUACCUGACAAAACUCUCCCAAACUGGACUGAGCAAGUGAUGAUCUUCUAAAGUUUGGAGUCUCCCAUGUUGUUUCCGAGUAAGGAACCAGACAGGUGAGGAAGUAAUGCAGACAGAGAACUGGACAGAGAGAGGCUUGCCAUUUUAAAAGCCUGAGUCAGAAUGAGAUAUGUUAUUUGAAGAAGGCCAAAUAUUUUCGCAUAAGACUUAUGGUUACUACCCAUUCCCAAAGGUCACCAGAGCUGGACAAGCCUUAUGGUCUUCUAGUUCCUUCCCUUCAAUAAGUAGAUUUGGGAUGAAGGAACAUCCAAGACAGAGAGCCUUCUCUAAAGAGAGGACUGAGAAGUUGGUUCCUCUAUGUCCUCAUCCAAAACUAUCAAUUCUAAAUUGUUUUAAAAUACUGAAUUCCAUGGGGUCCUUAAUGACACUUUGGGCUGUCACCCACUGACUAUGUAUCUCAGUCAACAGAAGAAGGGCCAUUGGAGGGUUUUAGAUAAUUGAGUAUUUGAAUUAACAACAGUGUUUUAAAUUGGGAAGUGUUUGGGCGAGUUGCAAUUUGGGCAGAGGUUAAAGUAAGAUUUUCCCUAAGUGUUUAUUUACUUUACCAAAAUCACAGUUCACAUGGCAAUUUAAAGUGUCCCUAAAUAUUAGCUAAAUGAGAUGUGAAUAGUUGAGGAAUUAGGAAAAGGAAUGAGAAAAGUCUAUAUAUGUGAUUUCUAAGCCUGAAAAAAUUAAAAAAAAAAAACCCUCACAGUUGUAAGAAAAAUUUAAAAUAGAUCUUUCUUAUAAUCCAGUAAUCCUAAUACUGGGUUUAUAUUCAAAGAAAAUUAAAUUAGUAUGACAAAGAGAUAUUUGCACUCUCAUUUCAAUAACCCAAGAUAUGGAAUCAAGUGAGUAUCUAUCAAUAUCAAGUAAUGAAUGGAUAAAGAAAACAUGGCAUAUAAACACAGGGGAAUACUAUUCAGCCACAGAAAGGAUUAAAA
rnacentral:lncRNA from 1 species